rnacentral:rRNA from 1 species
GAUGAACGCUGGCGGCGUGCCUAAUACAUGCAAGUCGAGCGAACGGACGAGAAGCUUGCUUCUCUGAUGUUAGCGGCGGACGGGUGAGUAACACGUGGAUAACCUACCUAUAAGACUUGGAUAACUUCGGGAAACCGGAGCUAAUACCGGAUAAUAUUUUGAACCGCAUGGUUCAAAAGUGAAAGACGGUCUUGCUGUCACUUAUAGAUGGAUCCGCGCUGCAUUAGCUAGUUGGUAAGGUAACGGCUUACCAAGGCAACGAUGCAUAGCCGACCUGAGAGGGUGAUCAGACACACUGGAACUGAGACACGGUCCAGACUCCUACGGGAGGCAGCAGUAGGGAAUCUUCCGCAAUGGGCGAAAGCCUGACGGAGCAACGCCGCGUGAGUGAUGAAGGUCUUCGGAUCGUAAAACUCUGUUAUUAGGGAAGAACAGAUGUGUAAGUAACUGUGCACAUCUUGACGGUACCUAAUCAGAAAGCAACGGCUAACUACGUG